rnacentral:lncRNA from 1 species
CUAUGGUUGAAUAUCUGUAGCUGUUGUUUGCUAAACAAGAGUGCCGGUGGCAGAGGAAUUAGAAGAAAUCCCUUCUUAAUUGGAAACACUUAAUUCUGAAGAGAGAAGACCUUUUCAACUAAAGCCCUGGGAUGUGUCACUGGAGGAAGUACAAAAGCCAAACAUUUGGACAGUCUGGACAAGGGCAAUUCCUGCUGCUGCCAUUCAGCUGUGAGCCCUGGGUCAUGAUGCAGAUGGGGCCACUGCACAUCCCAGGAGCUCUGUUGGCACCACAGGCUGAUGGAGAUGACCUGGAGGACCAGGAGCUGAGGGACAGCAUGGCCAAGACUCAGCUCUACAAACCAGAACCGACCUGGCUUUGGCCAUGAGCAGAUGGGUGAGCACAUGAAUGAAAACCUUCCCCUGUGCACAAGAUAGAGAACUACUUAUGCUGAGUAAAACACGAUCUUGAAGCUCUGCACGGAUGUGCUUUGAUGGAAGAUCUCCCUGUUGCACGCUGAUGAGUAAAUGUGGUUAAAAGUUGCUGCAGCUGCCGCCCCUCUCUGCUCCUGUGCAGGCUCAGCUCUGGCCCUCCCUGCAGGUCUCAAAUGGCAGAGCCAUGUCCCACCUCUCUGGCUCCACCACGGAACUCCAUGGGGUCAUUGCCAGGUUUGGUGGCAACCACCCCACCCAUGGAGAGAUGAGCUUGGGCAGGAGACAGCAAAUGCUACCCCUCACCCACUGAAGCAAGCA